rnacentral:rRNA from 1 species
UACAGAGGUGCCGAGCGUUAGGCGGAAUCACUGGGCUUAAAGCGCGCGUAGGCGGGCGUCUAAGUGUCUUGUGAAAUCCCACGGCUCAACCGUGGAACGGCUGGGCAUACUGGACGCCUCGAGGCACUCAGGGGCGAGCGGAACAGGCGGUGGAGCGGUGAAAUGCGUAGAUAUCGCCUGGAACGCCGACGGUGAAAACAGCUCGCUGGGAGUGUCCUGACGCUGAGGCGCGAAAGCCAGGGGAGCGAACGGG